AUGCUUCAGCAGCACGUCUACCCGAAUUACAAUACAGAGUUUUACAUGGUUCUUGUACAAGGAUGAUAUGAAAAUUUGCGAAGUAUUCCAUAUUUUU
ensembl:snRNA U6 U6 spliceosomal RNA